rnacentral:rRNA from 1 species
UACGUAGGGUGCGAGCGUUAAUCGGAAUUACUGGGCGUAAAGCGUGCGCAGGCGGUUGUGCAAGCCAGAGGUGAAAUCCCCGGGCUUAACCUGGGAACUGCCUUUGUGACUGCACGGCUAGAGUGUGUUAGAGGGGGGUAGAAUUCCACGUGUAGCAGUGAAAUGCGUAGAUAUGUGGAGGAAUACCGAUGGCGAAGGCAGCCCCCUGGGAUAACACUGACGCUCAAGCACGAAAGCGUGGGGAGCAAACAGG